rnacentral:rRNA from 1 species
CAUUGAGACGAGUGGCGAACUGGUGAGUAACACGUGGGUAACCUGCCCUUGAAGUAGGGGAUAACACUUGGAAACAGGUGCUAAUACCGUAUAACAACCAAAACCACCUGGUUUUGGUUUAAAAGACGGCUUCGGCUGUCACUUUAGGAUGGACCCGCGGCGUAUUAGCUUGUUGGUAAGGUAACGGCUUACCAAGGCGAUGAUACGUAGCCGACCUGAGAGGGUAAUCGGCCACAUUGGGACUGAGACACGGCCCAAACUCCUACGGGAGGCAGCAGUAGGGAAUCUUCCACAAUGGACGAAAGUCUGAUGGAGCAACGCCGCGUGAGUGAUGAAGGGUUUCGGCUCGUAAAACUCUGUUGUUGGAGAAGAACAGGUGUCAGAGUAACUGUUGACAUCUUGACGGUAUCCAACCAGAAAGCCACGGCUAACUACGUGCCAGCAGCCGCGGUAAUACGUAGGUGGCAAGCGUUGUCCGGAUUUAUUGGGCGUAAAGCGAGCGCAGGCGGUUUUUUAGGUCUGAUGUGAAAGCCUUCGGCUUAACCGGAGAAGUGCAUCGGAAACCGGGAGACUUGAGUGCAGAAGAGGACAGUGGAACUCCAUGUGUAGCGGUGAAAUGCGUAGAUAUAUGGAAGAACACCAGUGGCGAAGGCGGCUGUCUGGUCUGUAACUGACGCUGAGGCUCGAAAGCAUGGGUAGCGAACAGGAUUA